CUGGAAUGCCUUGGAGACAGCUUUAAAAGCUUCUUCAGCUCCGGGCGCCUUGUUCUUAUCAUGGACUUUAAGGGAUAAUUUCCUAUACGCUUUUCGAACAUCUUCAACAGAGCAAGUUUUCUCCAAUCCCAAAAUGUCAUAAUAAUCUUUCUUCUUCUUGAUUUGCCUCACGAUAGUGAUUUGCUCCUCAGUAUACGUGGCUGAGGACGAUGAGGCAGU
rnacentral:misc_RNA from 1 species